rnacentral:rRNA from 1 species
AGGGUUUGAUCAUGGCUCAGAACGAACGCUGGCGGCAGGCCUAAUACAUGCAAGUCGAGCGCGCCCUUCGGGGUGAGCGGCGGACGGGUGAGUAACGCGUGGGAAUAUGCCCCUCUCUAAGGAAUAGCCUCUGGAAACGGAGAGUAAUACCUUAUACGCCCUUUUGGGGAAAGAUUUAUCGGAGGAGGAUUAGCCCGCGUUAGAUUAGGUAGUUGGUGGGGUAAUGGCCUACCAAGCCUACGAUCUAUAGCUGGUUUGAGAGGAUGAUCAGCCACACUGGGACUGAGACACGGCCCAGACUCCUACGGGAGGCAGCAGUAGGGAAUCUUAGACAAUGGGGGCAACCCUGAUCUAGCCAUGCCGCGUGUGUGAUGAAGGCCCUAGGGUCGUAAAGCACUUUCGCCAGAGAUGAUAAUGACAGUAUCUGGUAAAGAAACCCCGGCUAACUCCGUGCCAGCAGCCGCGGUAAU